GUCCUUUUGAUAUUAAUUUAAGGUCUGAUCUGCUCACUGAUUAAAUUUAAGAGCCGCGGUAUUUUGACCGUGCAAAGGUAGCGUGAUAAUUAGUUUUUUAAUUGAAAGCUGGAAUGAAUGAUUUGACGAGAAAGAAUCUGUUUCAUAUUAAUUAUUUUAAUUUUAUGUUUGAGUAAAAAGUCUCAAUUAAAAUCAAGGGACGAGAAGACCCUAUAGAGUUUAAUAUUUUUGUUAUUAUUAUUAAUUUAUGUAGUUAAAUUUAAUUGUACUAUAAAUAUUUAAUUGGGGUGAUUUAAAGAUUAAAUAAACUCUUUAUUAUUUUUUUACAUUGAUUAUUGGAUUAAUUGAUCUAUAUUAAUAAUUAAAAGAUUAAAUUACCUUAGGGAUAACAGCGUUAUUUUUUAUUAAGUUCUUAUUAUUAUAAAAGAUUGCGACCUCGAUGUUGGAUUAAAAUUUAAAUUAGGUGUAGAUGCUUAAUAUUUAAGUCUGUUCGACUUUUAAAAUUUUACA
rnacentral:rRNA from 1 species